rnacentral:lncRNA from 1 species
UCCCUCCUGCUGAACUCUUCCUACCCGGGCUCUGAACACAUCCCUGAGCUGCAGAGCUGACGUCUGGGUGACAGUGAAACGGGGUAUUCAUUUGUACCAAAACAAACAAACAAACAAACAAAACCUGGAAUGACGGUGUGUGGAUUUCUUGUGUGCUUAUUCGUAGGAUUGAGAAAGGGUGAGGCUAAGGUCCCGAGCCUUCGUGAAGCAAUGGAGAAAGUGCCGUCCCAAGGCUCAGUUCCACACGGCGCUGUGAGGCUGAAGGGGCUCACUGGAAGUUCCCCUCACAGGACGCCACCUCACCUGAAACCCUCUUUUUCUGCUACCAUCCAAGGGACAAGAUCUCCUGAGUUGUCGAAGACUCACUCCGGAAGAAAACCCUCUCAGGCAGUUACUGAGGGACUGUGGUCUGGACUAGAACGUGUUUUUCUCAGUGACACCUCUAGAGGGCAGCACUCAACGGAGUCCCACAGACACCUCCCUGCAUUUCCUCCUCAGACACUGGGUGGAUGAUAUGGUAACACUGGGGAAUGCUUGGGUGUUCUCCUGGAAGCUCCUUAUUUUAAUCACCUGUUUACUUGUCUCCAUUCUUAUAGAUAUGUAGGCUACCCGAGGGCAGAGACUGAGUCUGUCUUGUUCACUGUCUACCUCCAGAACCUCACACAGAAUCUGGCACUUAGUAGGUGCACAACAAAAUAAUCAUUGAAUUAGUAUACUGAGUCUUUAACAGAGUCUCUUUCUGUUUAUUGAGUUGACACGAUGUAUCCAAAAGCAGCUGAAUGCACAACUCAAACUGUCAUCCAAGCACACAAAGAAGGCAUUGAUGUGAGUAUUAAACAGAUUUGUUUUUAUUGUGUUAAGGAUACAUUUAAAAGUAUUUUUCUAGUGACCUAGAUGAGAGGGUAUGAGGCAGUAUGAGAAGAUUUACAAGAUCACUGCUUAGUUUGUUAAAGACUGUCAUGCUCGUGGUUCAACAACUUAAUUUAAGGUCCUAAUGCGUUUAUAAGCUACAUGGUCCUUUCCAUAGCUCCUUCCCAUUGAAAGAGGUACAGUCAAUUUAGCAAAAAGCCACCCCCACAUGUUUCAGGGCCACAAGACUGCCUACUAGAUUCUAAGAAAAAUGGCAAGUCAUCCUCUUAUCACAGGGUAACUGGUUAAUAUGUUCCUUUUCAAGGUUGGCAUUAAAAGUUUAACAAAAUAUUUCAGCAGAUUUUGCUCUCUUUACAAGUCAGUAGAAACUGGCUUUUUGAAGACACUCACUUUUCAUGACUUGGAUGUAAGGACUAAAGCAGAUGAGAAAUCUCUGCUGGGAGCAUAGCUGGGAGGGGAUGUCUGUGAAGGGCAGGCUGAUGGCACUAUGGAAAGCUUCUAUUACUGGGUUGCCACAUAAAAUGCAGGGAACCCAGGAAAAUGUGCAGUUCAGGCAAAGAAUCAAUAUCUUUUUAGUAUAAGUAUGUCCCAAGCACUGUAGGUAACAUGAUUAUACAAAAAAAGUAUUGAUUGUUCAUCUGAAUUUCAUAUUUACUUGGGUGUCUUGUAUUUUAUCUGCCAAAUCUAGCCACCGUAUUUGCAUACUUUUUCCUCUCUGCGUCACUCAGGUUGCCCUUCUUGACCUCUGGGCCUUUGCACAUGGUAAUUGUCCUGACUGGAAUGCACUACUUUCACCUACCAUGGUAUUUUCUCUACUAUGUCUUCUUUCCCUACACUGUUUUGACAUGAUGUAUUCAAUAUCAGCUUCCCCACUAGACCCUGAGUUCCUGAGGGGAAAGCCUUCUUCUUGUUUGAUUCCAGUCCUCAUUGUCUGGCACAAAACCUGGUCAUUGUAGGAGCUCCUAAAAUAAGAUAGUUUUUAAAUUUACAUGGAAGAAUUCUAGCAAAUACAAAAGUAGACAGAAUAAUAUAACUAAGUUGAAAGUACCCAUGACCUGGAUUCACCGAUUGACAAAAGCCUUUCUUCAUCUACACCAUGCAGUGGGUUAUGUUGGCCCCCACAGAAGAUAGGUCCAUAUCCAAACCCCUGGAUCCUGUAAAUGUGACCUUAUUUGGAAAAAAGCUCUUUGCAGAUGAAGUUAAGGAACUUGAGAUGAGACCAUCCUGGUAUAUUUAAAUAGGCCCUAAAUCCAGUGAGAAGUGUACCCACAACAGAGAAGACACAGACACAAAGAGGGUGAGGUGCUGGAAGCCCCAUGCAGAAAGUAGAGUGAUGUGGCCAAGAUCCAAGGAAGUCCAGAAAUGCCAAGAGCCCCCAGAAGCUGUAGGAUGCAGGAAAGGAUUGUUCUCUAGAGCUUCCAGGGGAAUGUGGACCUCACAACUUGACUUCUGGCCUUCAGAAUUUCUAUUGUUUCAAGCCACCAUGUUUGUAGGAAUCUGUGACAGAAGCCACAAGAAAACAGUACAAACUUCUACUCCCCCCACUACCAAGGGAUUUUUUUGAAACAAAUUCCAGACAGCAUAUCAUUUCUUCUGUACAUACUACUGUUUAUCUCUAGAAAGGAAGAACUACCUGUUGAAACAUAAUCACACUAUUCUCUUAUCAUAUUAAAAUUCUAUAAUUCCUUAGUUUCAUCAAAGCUUCAGCAUUCUAGUUCAUGUAAGUGUCCCAUACCCGUAAUCACAGCACAGGGGAGCAGACACAGUGGCCCUCAGGUGUUCUUAGAGGCUCACUGGGGCUCUGAGGAGGGCACAGAGGACAGCCCAAUGCUCCGGAGAAGCAAUAGGGUAGAUUUAAUUGUGAUCACUGGGAAGGAGCUUGCCAGGCAGGGCUAGCAAAUGCACCCAGGCAGGAAGGCAAGAGGCUCCACCAUGCUCAGAGGGUUGAUUGGGCUGGAGAUCAAGGAGUGAGGACGGGUGUGAGGAUACCUUCUAUAUGCAGUCAGGACUCACUGCAGAAUUCUGUGAUUUUUUUUUCCAAUUUGUAUUUUAGAAAAGCUAUGCUGGUUGUAAGUGGAGAAGAGACUAGAGCAAAGUGAAGCUGCAGGAAAAAGCUGAGACAGGUUACAACGGGAGUGCCAGAGAGAUGUCACUUAAAAUGAGAACUUCUCAGGGUAAGUCUCAUGGUGUUCAUGGCCUUUAAAGUAGGUUCUGAGACACAAUUUUAUGCAGAGGUCCCUUUCUGUGUUCUUCCAAGCCUACAGUAUUACUACAAUAUGACCUUAUCACAUGACCCAUGAAAGAAAACAACUCAAGGUAAUGGCCACAUCUAUUUCUAUUCUUUUCGUCUUAUUCAUGUUCUUGUGUGUCCUUGGAUGGGGAAGGCUGUGUGGGAUCCUGAGCUGAUGACCUCAGCUCAUUCACGGUGCCCCAAGCAUGAAAACAAGGAAAGGGCAUUCUCAGGGCACUGGGGAUGGUUCCUCUAGCAGAUACUCUGAGAGGUCUGGCCUUUUAGCCUGGAGAUAGUUGCCAGACCUGUUCAGGGAGCCACAUCCCUUCCACUUUAACCACCUUCUCCCUCUCCACCACCACAGCUACCACCCCACACACACAUAGGCAUCGCCUGGUGUUAAAAUCUUCAACUGUGGCCGGGCACGGUGGCUCACACCUGUAAUCCCAGCACUUUGGGAGGCCGAGGCGGGCGGAUCACGAG